UCCAUCCACAACUUCUGCAACUACAUCAUCACCAACCACAUCAGCAACAACCAGUCAAACAUCAAGUUCAACAACAAGUCCAUCCACACCUUCUGCAACUACAUCAUCACCAACCACAUCAGCAACAACCAGUCAAACAUCAAGUCAACAUCAACAAGUCCAUCCACAACUUCUGCAACACAUCAUCCCAACCACAUCAGCAACAACCAGUCAAACAUCAAGUUCAACAACAAGUCCAUCCAACCUUCUGCAACUACAUCAUCACCAACCACAUCAGCAACAACCAGUCAAACAUCUAGUUCAACAACAAGUCCAUCCAAACUUCUGCAAAUACAUCAUCACCAACCACAUCAGCAACAAACCAGUCAAACAUCAAGUUCAACAACAAGUCCAUCCACAACUUCUGCAACUACAUCAUCACCAACCACAUCAGCAACAACCAGUCAAACAUCAAGUUCAACAUCUACAAGUCCAUCCACAACUACAUCGUCACCAACCACAUCAGUAACAACCAGUCAAACGUCUAGUUCAACAUCCACAAGUCCAUCCACAACUUCUGCAACUACAUUGUCACCAACAUCAGCAACAACCAGUCAAACAUCUAGUUCAACAGCAAGUCCAUCCACAACUUCUGCAACUACAUCAUCACCAACCACAUCAGCAACAAGUAGUCAAACAUCAAGUUCAACAACAAGUCCAUCCACAACUUCUGCGACUACAUCGUCACACCAACAUCAGCAAAGCAGUCAAACAUCAAGUUCAACAACAAGUCCAUCCACAACUUCUGCAACUACAUCGUCACCAACCACAUCAGUAACAACCAGUCAAACAUCUAGUUCAACAUCCACAAGUCCAUCCACAAUAUCUGCAACUACAUCAGCAACAACCAGUCAAACAUCUAGUUCAACAUCCACAAGUCCAUCCACAACGUCUGCAACUACAUCGUCACCAACCACAUCAGCAACUUCAGGUGUUGAGCCAAUCUUAUUGUUUCAGCAACUUUACCUCAAGAGAUUUUUCGAGAAGAACUCACUAACCCCAACAGCACAACAUACAAAGAACUUGAAAGUCGAGUAAUAGACACGUGUACACCUAUCUACACAAGAAAAUAUGGAAAGAGAUUUGUCCGCUGCUUUGUGAAACAAUUCCGCCGUGCUGUGCGUCUACGACAAGAUGCAACUGCAGCUGAUAUUGGGGUUGUGCUCCGCAACAAUAUCCCCAUUUCUGACCUCCCAAAUAAUGACGAAGUUGCUGAAACUUUAGCAAUUGCAGCAAGUAGCAAUGAGACCUUAAGUGUGGCUCUGUCUGCAUCCUCAAUCCAAACUAUAUCUGGUCCAGUUCCUUUAACUACUGAGCCUGCAACUACAACAACCAUAGUUGCAGCAACUACAACUCCACCAACGACAUCAGCAACAACCAGUCAAACAUCAAGUUCAACAUCAACAAGUCCAUCCACAACUUCUGCAACUACAUCGUCACCAACCACAUCAGCAACAACCAGUCAAACAUCAAGUUCAACAACAAGUCCAUCCACAACUUCUGCAACUACAUCAUCACUAACCACAUCAGCAACAAGCAGUCAAACAUCAAGUUCAACAACAAAAAGUCCAUCCACAACUUCUGCAACUACGUCAUCACCAACCACAUCAGCAACAACCAGUCAAACAUCAAGUUCAACAUCUACAAGUCCAUCCACAACUACAUCGUCACCAACGACAUCAGCAACAACCAGUCAAACAUCAAGUUCAAGAACAAGUCCAUCCACAACUUCUGCAACUACAUUGUCACCAACAUCAGCAACAACCAGUCAAACAUCUAGUUCAACAUCCACAAGCCCAUCCACAACUUCUGCAACUACAUCGUCACCAACAGCAGCAAUAACCAGUCAAACAUCUAGUUCAACAUCCACAAGUCCAUCCACAACUUCUGCAACUACAUCAUCACCAACCACAUCAGCAACAACCAGUCAAACAUCAAGUUCAACAACAAGUCCAUCCACAACUUCUGCAACUACAUCGUCACCAACAUCAGCAACAACCAGUCAAACAUCAAGUUCAAUAUCUACAAGUCCAUACACAACUUCUGCAACUACAUCAUCACCAACCACGUCAGCAACAACCAGUCAAACAUCAAGUUCAACAUCAACAAGUCCAUCCACAACUUCUGCAACUACAUCGUCACCAACCACAUCAGCAACAACCAGUCAAACAUCAAGUUCAACAACAAGUCCAUCCACAACUUCUGCAACUACAUCAUCACCAACCACAUCAGCAACAACCAGUCAAACAUCUAGUUCAACAUCCACAAGUCCAUCCACAACUUCUGCAACUACAUCGUCACCAACAACAUCAGCAACAACCAGUCAAACAUCUAGUUCAACAUCCACAAGUACAUCCACAACUUCUGCAACUACAUCGUCACCAACCACAUCAGCAACUUCAGGUGUUGAGCCAAUCUAUAUUGUUUCAGCAACUUUACCUGAAGAGAAUUUUCGAGAAGAACUCACUAACCCAAACAGCACAACAUACAAAGAACUUGAACGUCGAGUAAUAGACACGUGUACACCUAUCUACACAAGAAAAUAUGGAGAGAGAUUUGUCCGCUGCUUUGUGAAACAAUUCCGCCCUGUGCGUCUACGAGAAGAUGCAACUGCAGCUGAUAUUGGGGUUGUGCUCCGCAACAAUAUCCCCAUUUCUGACCUCCCAAAUAAUGACGAAGUUGCUGAAACUUUAGCAAUUGCAGCAAGUAGCAAUGAGACCUUAAGUGUGGCUCUGUCCGCAUCCUCAAUCCAAACUAUAUCUGGUCCAGUUCCUUUAACUACUGAGCCUGCAACUACAACAACCACAUCAAGUUCAACAACAACAAGUCCAUCCACAACUUCUGCAACUACAUCAUCACCAACCACAUCAGCAACAACCAGUCAAACAUCAAGUUCAACAACAAGUCCAUCCACAACUUCUGCAACUACAUCGUCACCAACAACAUCAGCAACAACCAGUCAAACAUCUAGUUCAACAUCCACAAGUCCAUCCACAACUUCUGCAACUACAUCGUCACCAACCACAUCAGCAACUUCAGGUGUUGAGCCAAUCUAUAUUGUUUCAGCAACUUUACCUCAAGAGACUUUUCGAGAAGAACUCACUAACCCAAACAGCACAACAUACAAAGAACUUGAACGUCGAGUAAUAGACACGGUAUGUUGACCUUUGUAUACAAUUCUUUCCAUUAUUGACUUUUAGAAUUUCGAUUUAAGAAAAGUAUACACAAUUAAGUCCAUUCAAAUCAGUUGUUAAAUUUAAUAAUAUUAAUUAGUUGGUAGUUGAAUUUAAUCAAUUUGGAUCCAAAUUGAAUCCAAGUCCGUCGAAGUCCAAGUUGUAAUUCAGUCCUACACCAGUGCAAACCUUG
rnacentral:lncRNA from 1 species